CCACGGUGAAUACGUUCCCGGGCCUUGUACACACCGCCCGUCACACCAUGGGAGUGGGUUGCAAAAGAAGUAGGUAGCUUAACCUUCGGGAGGGCGCUUACCACUUUGUGAUUCAUGACUGGGGUGAUCUGGUUGCGCAAAGAAGAGGAAGAGGGGUUUCAGCGUUGCCCGGAUAUCGUGUUGUCCUCAUUU
rnacentral:rRNA from 1 species